rnacentral:lncRNA from 1 species
CAUUAAACCAUAUGUAUUAAGUUAUGGAAUGAUGAAUAAAAGCUUAAAGUUAUUUUUAAGUUAUGUUGAGUUGACUUGAGAAUUCUGUUUGAUUUGAACUGUAGCAGGAUAUGGUAGAUGAACAGGGCAUAUUAGUAGCUUAUGAACUGCGGCAUAAGGUGCUUGCAAAACUCUAUUCAUCUAUUGUACUCUUGCUCGAUUUAGGGAGUGGGGUGUGACAUAACCCAUGGUGGGUUGGCCCAAAUUGGAUCGAGUGAUUAUGUUCUACCCUGCUUAAAAAAUAGUUUCAUCUUUAAAACUUGAUGUACCUUCAUGUUUAAAUAAGUGAGGAUACUUUGUCUUUAUAUCAUCUUCAAGCUCCC